rnacentral:rRNA from 1 species
CCUACGGGUGGCAGCAGUGGGGAAUAUUGCACAAUGGGCGAAAGCCUGAUGCAGCGACGCCGCGUGAGUGAGGAAGUAUUUCGGUAUGUAAAGCUCUAUCAGCAGGGAAGAAAGAAAUGACGGUACCUGAGUAAGAAGCUCCGGCUAAAUACGUGCCAGCAGCCGCGGUAAUACGUAUGGAGCAAGCGUUAUCCGGAUUUACUGGGUGUAAAGGGAGCGUAGGCGGCAGAGCAAGUCUGAUGUGAAAGCCCGGGGCUCAACCCCGGUAGUGCAUUGGAAACUGUUCAGCUCGAGUGUCGGAGGGGUAAGCGGAAUUCCUGGUGUAGCGGUGAAAUGCGUAGAUAUCAGGAAGAACACCGGAGGCGAAGGCGGCUUACUGGACGAUUACUGACGCUGAGGCUCGAAAGCGUGGGGAGCGAACAGGAUUAGAUACCCGUGUAGUC